rnacentral:rRNA from 1 species
UACAGAGGGUGCAAGCGUUGUUCGGAAUUAUUGGGCGUAAAGGGCGCGUAGGCGGUGCGGUAAGUCUUUUGUGAAAUCUCCGGGCUCAACUCGGAGUCUGCAGGAGAAACUGCCGUGCUUGAGUGUGGGAGAGGUGAGUGGAAUUCCCGGUGUAGCGGUGAAAUGCGUAGAUAUCAGGAAGAACACCCGUGGCGAAGGCGGCUCUCUGGGACGGUACUGACGCUGAGACGCGAAAGCGUGGGGAGCGAACAGG